GUGGGGAAUAUUGCGCAAUGGGGGAAACCCUGACGCAGCAACGCCGCGUGAAGGAUGAAGGUCUUCGGAUUGUAAACUUCUUUUACAGAGGACGAAGGUAGUGACGGUACUCUGUGAAUAAGCCACGGCUAACUACGUGCCAGCAGCCGCGGUAAUACGUAGGUGGCGAGCGUUGUCCGGAUUUACUGGGUGUAAAGGGCGAGUAGGCGGUCUUGCAAGUCAGAUGUGAAAUACCGGAGCUCAACUCCGGGGCUGCAUUUGAAACUGUAGGACUUGAGUGAUGGAGAGGCAGGCGGAAUUCCCGGUGUAGCGGUGGAAUGCGUAGAUAUCGGGAGGAACACCAGUGGCGAAGGCGGCCUGCUGGACAUUAACUGACGCUGAGGAGCGAAAGCGUGGGGAGCAAACAGGAUUAGAAACCCGAGUAGUCC
rnacentral:rRNA from 1 species